UCACUGUGAUGAAUGGUUCCAUACAUUCGCGGUUUCCACCAGAAUUUGGCAGUGUUGGUUACAACCUUCCUUGGAUGUCUGAGUGA
ensembl:snoRNA SNORD14 Small nucleolar RNA SNORD14